rnacentral:rRNA from 1 species
AGUGAACGCUGGCGGUAGGCCUAACACAUGCCAGUCGAACGGCAGCACAGUAAGAGCUUGCUCUUACGGGUGGCGAGUGGCGGACGGGUGAGGAAUACAUCGGAAUCUACUUUUUCGUGGGGGAUAACGUAGGGAAACUUACGCUAAUACCGCAUACGACCUACGGGUGAAAGCAGGGGAUCUUCGGACCUUGCGCGAUUGAAUGAGCCGAUGUCGGAUUAGCUAGUUGGCGGGGUAAAGGCCCACCAAGGCGACGAUCCGUAGCUGGUCUGAGAGGAUGGUGAGCGACACUGGAACUGGGACACGGACCAGACUCCUACGGGAGGGCGCAGUGGGGAAUAUUGGACAAUAGGCGCAAGCCUGGUCCAGCCAUACCGCGUGGGUUAAGAAAGCCUUCGGGUUGUAAAGCCCUUUUGUUGGGUAAGAAAAGCAGCAGCUUAAUACCCCGCUGUUCUGACGGUACCCAAUGAAUAAGCACCGGCUAACUUCGUG